AACCGAAGAAGACACACGGCAAUUUCUGACACCUCAUACUACAGCUGCUUCCACAGCCUGAUUCUCACGCCGAACUGAGGCUC